AAAGGCUUUAGCUUAAUUAAAGUGUCUGGGUUGCAUUCAGAAGAUGUAGGAUAGAGUCUUGCAAGUCUUAU
rnacentral:tRNA from 1 species